rnacentral:rRNA from 1 species
UUUUAAAUGCAAGUCGAACGGUAACAGGAAGCAGCUUGCUGCUUUGCUGACGAGUGGCGGACGGGUGAGUAAUGUCUGGGAAACUGCCUGAUGGAGGGGGAUAACUACUGGAAACGGUGGCUAAUACCGCAUAACGUCGCAAGACCAAAGAGGGGGACCUUCGGGCCUCUUGCCAUCAGAUGUGCCCAGAUGGGAUUAGCUUGUUGGUGAGGUAACGGCUCACCAAGGCGACGAUCCCUAGCUGGUCUGAGAGGAUGACCAGCCACACUGGAACUGAGACACGGUCCAGACUCCUACGGGAGGCAGCAGUGGGGAAUAUUGCACAAUGGGCGCAAGCCUGAUGCAGCCAUGCCRCGUGUAUGAAGAAGGCCUUCGGGUUGUAAAGUACUUUCAGCGGGGAGGAAGGUGUUGUGGUUAAUAACCGCAGCAAUUGACGUUACCCGCAGAAGAAGCACCGGCUAACUCCGUGCCAGCAGCCGCGGUAAUACGGAGGGUGCAAGCGUUAAUCGGAAUUACUGGGCGUAAAGCGCACGCAGGCGGUCUGUCAAGUCGGAUGUGAAAUCCCCGGGCUCAACCUGGGAACUGCAUUCGAAACUGGCAGGCUUGAGUCUUGUAGAGGGGGGUAGAAUUCCAGGUGUAGCGGUGAAAUGCGUAGAGAUCUGGAGGAAUACCGGUGGCGAAGGCGGCCCCCUGGACAAAGACUGACGCUCAGGUGCGAAAGCGUGGGGAGCAAACAGGAUUAGAUACCCUGGUAGUCCACGCCGUAAACGAUGUCUACUUGGAGGUUGUGCCCUUGAGGCGUGGCUUCCGGAGCUAACGCGUUAAGUAGACCGCCUGGGGAGUACGGCCGCAAGGUUAAAACUCAAAUGAAUUGACGGGGGCCCGCACAAGCGGUGGAGCAUGUGGUUUAAUUCGAUGCAACGCGAAGAACCUUACCUGGUCUUGACAUCCACAGAACUUUCCAGAGAUGGAUUGGUGCCUUCGGGAACUGUGAGACAGGUGCUGCAUGGCUGUCGUCAGCUCGUGUUGUGAAAUGUUGGGUUAAGUCCCGCAACGAGCGCAACCCUUAUCCUUUGUUGCCAGCGGUCCGGCCGGGAACUCAAAGGAGACUGCCAGUGAUAAACUGGAGGAAGGUGGGGAUGACGUCAAGUCAUCAUGGCCCUUACGACCAGGGCUACACACGUGCUACAAUGGCGCAUACAAAGAGAAGCGACCUCGCGAGAGYAAGCGGACCUCAUAAAGUGCGUCGUAGUCCGGAUUGGAGUCUGCAACUCGACUCCAUGAAGUCGGAAUCGCUAGUAAUCGUGGAUCAGAAUGCCACGGUGAAUACGUUCCCGGGCCUUGUACACACCGCCCGUCACACCAUGGGAGUGGGUUGCAAAAGAAGUAGGUAGCUUAACCUUCGGG